UACGUAGGUGGCAAGCGUUAUCCGGAUUUAUUGGGCGUAAAGGGAACGCAGUCGGUCUUUUAAGUCUGAUGUGAAAGCCUUCGGCUUAACCGGAGUAGUGCAUUGGAAACUGGGAGACUUGAGUGCAGAAGAGGAGAGUGGAACUCCAUGUGUAGCGGUGAAAUGCGUAGAUAUAUGGAAGAACACCAGUGGCGAAAGCGGCUCUCUGGUCUGUAACUGACGCUGAGGUUCGAAAGCGUGGGUAGCAAACAGG
rnacentral:rRNA from 1 species